rnacentral:rRNA from 1 species
UACGGAGGGUGCGAGCGUUGUCCGGAAUCAUUGGGCGUAAAGGGCGCGUAGGUGGCCCGGUGAGUCUUUGGUGAAAGCGCGGGGCUCAACCCUGCGUCGGCCAGGGAUACUGCCGCGGCUCGAGCACUGUAGAGGCAGGCGGAAUUCCGGGUGUAGCGGUGGAAUGCGUAGAGAUCCGGAAGAACACCGGUGGCGAAGGCGGCCUGCUGGGCAUUAACUGACGCUGAGGAGCGAAAGCAUGGGGAGCGAACAGG